ACACACACACACUGUACACACACAUUCACACUGGACACACACAUACACUGGAUCCCAGGUUCUAGAACAGCUUCUAUCCCAGUUCUAUCUGUCUGUUAAAUCAGUUUCUGGAACACAGGUUCUAGAACAGCUUCUAUCCCAGUUCUAUCUGCCUGUUAAAUCAGUUUCUGGACCACAGGUUCUAGAACAGCUUCUAUCCCAGUUCUAUCUGCCUGUUAAAUUAGUUUCUGGACCACAGGUUCUAGAACAGCUUCUAUCCCAGUUCUAUCUGCCUGUUAAAUCAGUUUCUGGACCACAGGUUCUAGAACAGCUUCUAUCCCAGUUCUAUCUGCCUGUUAAAUCAUCAACCUAAAUGGUUUUCAUCAGACUAUUAGAACAUAACUGAACUUUUUGGUUCCUUUUCUCAUCUUUUACAACUUUGCAUUUUUUAUGAUAUAUUUUACUGUUUGUGUUUGUACCCCAGGAGGUUGGUGGGACCUUAAUUGGGGAGGACAGGCUUGUAAUGGCUGGAGGGGAAUAAGUGGAAUGGUAUCAAACACGUGGUUUCCAUGUGUCCCAUUUCAUUCACUCUGUUCCAGACAUUAUUAUGAGCCGUCCUCCCCUCACCAGCCUCCUCUGGUAUGUACUGUCCUAUAUGUGAGAAAGAUCCAACAAGGAAUUAAAUGUAUGUAUUACUUUUAAUACCUGCAAAUGGCAAAUAAACUACUAGAACUCCU